AUUGAACGCUAGCGGGAGGCUUAACACAUGCAAGUCGAACGAGUGGCGGACGGGUGAGUAAUAAAUGGGAACGUGCUCAGUGGCGGGGGAUAACUACUUGAAACAGUGGCUAAUACCGCGUAACAUAGGAGCGGCCCAAAUCGGAUUAGCUAGUUGGUGGGGUAAUGGCGCAACAAGGCGACGAUCCGUAGCUGGGUUGAGAGGACGACCAGCCACACUGCGACUGGGUCACGGCCCAGACUCCUACGGGGGGCAGCAGUGGCGAAUUUUGGGCAAUGGGUGCAACCCGGACACAGCCAUGCCGCGUGAAUGAGAAGGCCUUCGGGUUGUAAAGUUCUUUUGGCAAAGUAGCGGUAGCUACAGGAUGAGCUCCGGCUAACUACGUGCCAGCCGCCGCGGUAAUAC
rnacentral:rRNA from 1 species